CAAAUGGUUAUAUUGACUACGUCCAUGUUAGUGCGCUCAUUAAUGCCUUCAUCGAAAUUACGGAUUGCCUCUUAACUGCUCGCCGUUCACGUAUGCCAUCGUUUGUACAUCUCAAUUGUUGGAACCAACAUGGAGUACGUCCAGCAGGAAGAGAGGAAGGAACCAUUCGUCCGCCAGCUCAGGGACAAGCUGCACUAUUCACAGCCCAGUGUAAUGUUCAAUGUAAUUGCAUUUCUGGAUUUUUUAAAACUUAAUGUAUUUGUAUUGAUUUAAAAAUGUACAAAUAAAAGGAUAUGUUUGAUUGAAA